CACAGCCCUGAGUGAGAAGCAGCGAUCUGCCAUUAUUGUUUUCUUGUUCUGGCUACUGGAGGUACAAUGUCAGCGCCAAACAACCAUUAAAAGUGUCAUGUGUUGGGAUGCACCAACGAACAUAGGAGUCUAUAUAGACCACUGAGGACACAGUGGUUACAUUUAAUUUUCGAAGGAAAUAUCCUGGAAAAAAAAAACGGGAAAGUCCUAUAUGUUUAUGCUAACAUUUUAUGCCUGACUGCCUCACAAACAAGGGUCAGUUCAACGCUGGAGCUGUUUUCACUAAUUCUGCCUUUACGUGCUACCAGUAUGAUCGUAAAUAGGAAUGUGGUAGUUAAAAAUUUCAUUUGGAAGCAAUGUGAGCCAAGCGCUGCAUGGACACUGGAGAGGCAUUAUAAGAUUAAACUAUGGCCGAUUCCCAUAAUCCCUUCCUAAUUUGAUGCAUUACUAUCUACCAGACGGACAGGAAGAACAAGACAUGCCACCAAGGAGAAGUAAAGGGCUAUUAGGUGUUUGGCAAUGAGGGGUUAGAUCAUGAAGCCUUGUGGCUUUUUUUAUGCAUUUAUGAAUACUGAUUUCUGCAUUCUCAUGCUCUUUAUGGAAAGUACCACCCACAAUGGCUCUUCAGGAAUGAAGUUGUGAAAUAUUAUAACCUUGAAUGCAAAACUUAAUGAGGAAUUGCUCAUUCUACAGUGUUUUCAUAUGCAUGCAAAUGAAUCAGUUUUUAUAUAGUUAGCCUUUUAAUUUCAUUGGAAAGUCAAGGGAAACAUGGCAUGAUGCAGACUGGAUGCAAACCAGCAAUCCUGGUUACUGAGGGAGAGGACCCAAAUGCAGAAUGAGCAAGGGAAGAAGUUUGACAAAUUAGGCACAACAGGAGGGAGUGGUGUGAACAGUCCAGACAGUAGGGUAGGGCACACAACUGUAGAGCAGGCAGGUGGGGGGGGUGAUUGCCGAGAAGGGUCCUGGGUAACAACCGAGUGGAGGACUGUAAAGGAGGCAGCACUAGAUAUCAGACCACAGCACCAGGAACCAAGGGUACUUGGCUAUGAAGGUGAAGCUGCACACGUCCGACCUCCAGGCAGGAAGACCCAGUGGCCAGGGAGAAAGCAGGAGGCAGGACAGGAAUAGACAGAGAACUCACAAAACCCCAGACAUGACUCAAGACAAAAACGACAACAAGAGAAUAAAAAAUAAUGAUAGUAAUAAUAAUAAUAAUAAUAAUAAUAAUAAUAAUAAUAAUAAUAAUAAACAAGAGCAAAAAGGCAGACAGCAAUACUAUGACCUAGAAACAAUAAAAAGGGGAGCUAGAAAAAUAACCAAACCUGACAACCCAAGGUAAAAUAAAAAAGGAAAUAAAAAAUUAGUUCUAGAAUUAACUAGAAAGACUAAUCAAGGAAAUUUUACAACUCAGAGGGAAAAAAUAAAUAAAUAAAUACUUGAAAGAAACAGGUCAAACUCAAGAGAAACCAAAAAUGAGAUCCA
ensembl:lncRNA